GACGAACGCUGGCGGCGUGCUUAACACAUGCAAGUCGAACGGAAAGGCCCUGCUUUUGUGGGGUGCUCGAGUGGCGAACGGGUGAGUAACACGUGAGUAACCUGCCCUUGACUUUGGGAUAACUUCAGGAAACUGGGGCUAAUACCGGAUAGGAGCUCCUGCUGCAUGGUGGGGGUUGGAAAGUUUCGGCGGUUGGGGAUGGACUCGCGGCUUAUCAGCUUGUUGGUGGGGUAGUGGCUUACCAAGGCUUUGACGGGUAGCCGGCCUGAGAGGGUGACCGGCCACAUUGGGACUGAGAUACGGCCCAGACUCCUACGGGAGGCAGCAGUGGGGAAGAUUGCACAAUGGGCGGAAGCCUGAUGCAGCAACGCCGCGUGCGGGAUGACGGCCUUCGGGUUGUAAACCGCUUUCACCUGUGACGAAGCGUGAGUGACGGUAAUGGGUAAAGAAGCACCGGCUAACUACGUG
rnacentral:rRNA from 1 species